rnacentral:rRNA from 1 species
GGAUAAACGCUGAACGCCAGAAGCCGCCGGCGAAGCCCGCCUCAAACAUGGUUCCCCAC